GACGAACGCUGGCGGCGUGCUUAACACAUGCAAGUCGAACGGAAAGGCCCUGCUUUUGUGGGGUGCUCGAGUGGCGAACGGGUGAGUAACACGUGAGUAACCUGCCCUUGACUUUGGGAUAACUUCGGGAAACUGGGGCUAAUACCGGAUAGGAGCUCCUGCUGCAUGGUGGGGGUUGGAAAGUUUCGGCGGUUGGGGAUGGACUCGCGGCUUAUCAGCUUGUUGGUGGGGUAGUGGCUUACCAAGGCUUUGACGGGUAGCCGGCCUGAGAGGGUGACCGGCCACAUUGGGACUGAGAUACGGCCCAGACUCCUACGGGAGGCAGCAGUGGGGAAUAUUGCACAAUGGGCGGAAGCCUGAUGCAGCAACGCCGCGUGCGGGAUGACGGCCUUCGGGUUGUAAACCGCUUUCGCCUGUGACGAAGCGUGAGUGACGGUAAUGGGUAAAGAAGCACCGGCUAACUACGU
rnacentral:rRNA from 1 species